rnacentral:rRNA from 1 species
UACGUAGGGUGCGAGCGUUGUCCGGAAUUAUUGGGCGUAAAGGGCUCGUAGGCGGUUUGUCGCGUCGGGAGUGAAAACCUACAGCUUAACUGUGGGCUUGCUUUCGAUACGGGCAGACUAGAGGUAUGCAGGGGAGAACGGAAUUCCUGGUGUAGCGGUGAAAUGCGCAGAUAUCAGGAGGAACACCGGUGGCGAAGGCGGGUCUCUGGGCCGAUACUGACGCUGAGGAGCGAAAGCCAGGGGAGCGAACGGG